rnacentral:rRNA from 1 species
GUUGUAUGGUUAAGUGACUAAGCGUACACGGUGGAUGCCUUGGCAGUCAGAGGCGAUGAAAGGCGUAAUAACUUGCGAUAAGCCCAGAUUAGGUAGUAAUAACCUUUUGAGUCUGGGAUUCCUGAAUGGGGAAACCCACKUGCAUAAGCAMGUAUCCUGUUGUGAAUACAUAGCAACAGGAGGCAAACCGGGGGAACUGAAACAUCUAAGUACCCCGAGGAAGAGAAAUCAACCGAGAUUCCGAAA